GUCUGACACGGCCCAACGGUGGCAGGUCUUGCCCCAACAUUUGGCCGUGGCGCUAUGAC
rfam:Acidovorax sp. 12322-1 scaffold9, whole genome shotgun sequence.